GAGCUGGUGCGGCUAGGGGCGCCUUCCAGGAGCCCACCCUGCGGGACGGCCGGAGGAUUUCGGGGUGAAAGGCUCUGUGCAGGACGACUCAAAGGAGGCCUUUUUGCGGGGCGUCCACCUGCAGCCUGGCCCCUCGCGCUCUCCCAUCACUUUUCCCGACCCGAGACGACCCUCCUCCCCGCCCGCCAACACGCCCUGGUGAGGGAGCUGGCUGGAGGGGAGGGGUGAGGAACGUGCCCAGGCCGGGUCUCUGGAGAGGUCACCCGUCUGGGGGCCGCCGCCGCCACCCUCCCGGUGUUCCCGCUGACCUCCCGCAGGGAGGUGCCCCUGUGCGCUUCCGCUGCCCGAUCGCCAGCCCAGCCCGCGUGGGCCGGGAAAGCCCGGCUCCCUCGGCGCUCCCGCUGCAGCCCGAGUCGCGUGACGCGCAGGGACGCGCUCAGGGACGCUUCCAGCGCUGACCUCUGGACGCCGCCUUGGCAGCGCGGCGCUGUCCGCGUGCGACUUUCGCUCUGAUUGGAUUUCCCCUCUGUGCAGCCCUGCCGGUGGUGGCCAGAAUGGAGUCACCUGCCAGGGAAGUUGAAGCCGAGGACAAUACACGGCCCGGAUCACAGUAGAGGCUGGAGCACCUCACCUCAUAAGGAGCUUUCUGUGUAGCUGGGUUGUGGCCUGUAGCUGCCCACAGUGACACAACGAACAAAGGAGAUGAGGACAGCUGAUCUUCUGUGGGGAACAAAAGGGAAAAAUCCAUAGUGGAUUCUGUUCCUGGAUGCUUUUAAACGAAUGAUUAAAAGAAA